CAGCAGCCGCGGUAACACGAACCGUGCGAACGUUAUUCGGAAUCACUGGGCUUAAAGCGCGUGUAGGCGGUCCGGCACGUCGAAUGUUGAAAUCCCCCGGCUCAACCGGGGAGGGUCAUUGGAAACUGGGAAACUUGAGUGCGGAAGAGGAGAGUGGAAUUCCACGUGUAGCGGUGAAAUGCGUAGAGAUGUGGAGGAACACCAGUGGCGAAGGCGACUCUCUGGUCUGUAACUGACGCUGAGGAGCGAAAGCGUGGGGAGCGAACAGGAUUAGAUACCCCGGUAGUCCCUGUCUCUUAUU
rnacentral:rRNA from 1 species